GGGGUAAGUUCCGACCCGCACGAAAGGCGUAACGAUUUGGGCACUGUCUCAACGAGAGACUCGGUGAAAUCAUAGUACCUGUGAAGAUGCAGGUUACCCGCGACAGGACGGAAAGACCCCGUGGAGCUUUACUGUAGCCUGAUAUUGAAAUUCGGCACAGCUUGUACAGGAUAGGUAGGAGCCUUUGAAACGUGAGCGCUAGCUUACGUGGAGGCGCUGGUGGGAUACUACCCUAGCUGUGUUGGCUUUCUAACCCGCACCACUUAUCGUGGUGGGAGACAGUGUCAGGCGGGCAGUUUGACUGGGGCGGUCGCCUCCUAAAAGGUAACGGAGGCGCUCAAAGGUUCCCUCAGAAUGG
rnacentral:rRNA from 18 species